CGUUUUGGUCCUAGACUUGCUGUUGCCUAUGGCCAUAAUUACACAUGCAAGUCUCCCCCCUCCGGUGCCCACGCCCACACCCUACCACCAACACUAGACUAGGAGCAGAUAUCAGGCACACAAACCCCUGCGCCCAAAACAUCAAGCCCAUGCCACACCCCCACGGACCCCAGCAGUGAUAAACAUUAAGCAAUGAGCCAAAGCUCGACCUAGCCAUGGCCUAUUGAGCCGGCAAACUCCGUGCCAGCCGCCGCGGUUAAACGGAGGGCUCAAAUCAACCCCACCCCGGCGUAAAGCGUGACCAAAGACUAGUUAACAUACUAGGGGCCCAAACCCCAAUAUAGUAGUAAAAUGCCUAUACAACUAGAACCCCAUCGGCCCCUAAACUAAAAUUGUCUCCCCACCACGAAAACUAAGAAACAAACUAGGAUUAGAUACCCUACUAUGCUUAGUCCUAAACCUAGACAGUAAAUACAACACACUGUCCGCCAGAGAACUACAAGCAAAAACUUUAAACUCAAAGGACUUGACGGUGCCCCAUAUCAGCCUAGAGGAGCCUGUCCUAUAAUCGAUACUCCACGAUCUACCUUACCCCCCCUCGCAAAAUCAGCCUAUAUACCGCCGUCGUCAGCCCACCUUAUGACAGCCAUCACAGUGGACAGAAUAAUAAAAACCAUAAAAACGCCAGGUCAAGGUGUAGCUUACGGGGGGGCAGCGAUGGGCUACAUUUUCUAAUACUAGAAAACACAACUGUAAGCAACAUGAAAUAAACGCCCAAAGGCGGAUUUAGCAGUAAACCCAGCGCAAGCAUUGAUAAUUGAACCCCUGCCCUGGGGCGCGU
rnacentral:rRNA from 1 species